rnacentral:lncRNA from 1 species
CGGGCCGGACUACCCACCAGAUCAAGCAAGAUGCGGCUAACAUUACAUGUGGAUGGCAGUCCUGACAUAUUUUGUAAACAAUAGCCAAACAAAAGAAAAACAAGGGGUCAAGUGUUUGACCAUCCAUUUUAUACUACUCGGAGGCGCAACCAAGUGAGUUGGAACUUUUUUCACUACAACCUUAUCAGUUAGGGGUUGACAGCAUAUC